UGUGUUUCGACACACUAUCAUUAACUGAAUCCAUAGGUUAAUGAGGCGAACCGGGGGAACUGAAACAUCUAAGUACCCCGAGGAAAAGAAAUCAACCGAGAUUCCCCCAGUAGCGGCGAGCGAACGGGGAGGAGCCCAGAGCCUGAAUCAGUGUGUGUGUUAGUGGAAGCGUCUGGAAAGGCGCGCGAUACAGGGUGACAGCCCCGUACACAAAAAUGCACAUAUUGUGAGCUCGAUGAGUAGGGCGGGACACGUGGUAUCCUGUCUGAAUAUGGGGGGACCAUCCUCCAAGGCUAAAUACUCCUGACUGACCGAUAGUGAACCAGUACCGUGAGGGAAAGGCGAAAAGAACCCCGGCGAGGGGAGUGAAAAAGAACCUGAAACCGUGUACGUACAAGCAGUGGGAGCCUCUUAAUGGGGUGACUGCGUACCUUUUGUAUAAUGGGUCAGCGACUUAUAUUCUGUAGCAAGGUUAACCGAAUAGGGGAGCCGAAGGGAAACCGAGUCUUAACUGGGCGUUAAGUUGCAGGGUAUAGACCCGAAACCCGGUGAUCUAGCCAUGGGCAGGUUGAAGGUUGGGUAACACUAACUGGAGGACCGAACCGACUAAUGUUGAAAAAUUAGCGGAUGACUUGUGGCUGGGGGUGAAAGGCCAAUCAAACCGGGAGAUAGCUGGUUCUCCCCGAAAGCUAUUUAGGUAGCGCCUCGUGAAUUCAUCUCCGGGGGUAGAGCACUGUUUCGGCAAGGGGGUCAUCCCGACUUACCAACCCGAUGCAAACUGCGAAUACCGGAGAAUGUUAUCACGGGAGACACACGGCGGGUGCUAACGUCCGUCGUGAAGAGGGAAACAACCCAGACCGCCAGCUAAGGUCCCAAAGUCAUGGUUAAGUGGGAAACGAUGUGGGAAGGCCCAGACAGCCAGGAUGUUGGCUUAGAAGCAGCCAUCAUUUAAAGAAAGCGUAAUAGCUCACUGGUCGAGUCGGCCUGCGCGGAAGAUGUAACGGGGCUAAACCAUGCACCGAAGCUGCGGCAGCGACACUAUGUGUUGUUGGGUAGGGGAGCG
rnacentral:rRNA from 1 species